rnacentral:rRNA from 1 species
AGUGAACGCUGGCGGUAGGCCUAACACAUGCAAGUCGAACGGCAGCACAGUAAUAGCUUGCUCUUACGGGUGGCGAGUGGCGGACGGGUGAGGAAUACAUCGGAAUCUACUUUUUCGUGGGGGAUAACGUAGGGAAACUUACGCUAAUACCGCAUACGACCUACGGGUGAAAGCAGGGGAUCUUCGGACCUUGCGCGAUUGAAUGAGCCGAUGUCGGAUUAGCUUGUUGGCGGGGUAAAGGCCCACCAAGGCGACGAUCCGUAGCUGGUCUGAGAGGAUGAUCAGCCACACUGGAAGUGAGACACGGCCCAGACUCCUACGGGAGGCCGCAGUGGGGAAUAUUGGACAAGGGGGGCAAGCCUGAUCCAGCCAUACCGCGUGGGGGAAGAAGGACUUCGGGUUGUAAAGCCCUUUUGUUGGGAAAGAAAAGCAGCAGGUUAAUACCCCGCUGUUCUGACGGUACCCAAAGAAUAAGCACCGGCUAACUUCGUG